rnacentral:lncRNA from 1 species
GUAAAUAAAUGUUGACCGAUAAAUCAAAGUUUCAACGCUCAUGUAUUACAUAAAUUUUACAAGUAGCGUGUGUCUAAACAAAAAAUUGAAAUAAGUUGGAAAAGUCAUCAAACAGGACACGUGUCAACACCUGGCAGAAACGACUUAUUUCAUCUGGAAUAUUAUAUUCAAAAUUAGGCCUUGGAAAAUUCUAUAAAUAGAAGGCUAAUUCAUUCAUUUAAGGGAACCAAAAUCAUUAGGCAAAAUUCUUGAAGCUCUGAAGCUCUGAAACUCCGAAACUCUCAAGCAUCCAGGUUCCCGAAGAAUCAAGAAAGCGUUCUUCGUUCUUCGUUCAUCGUUCUUCCAAGAUCAAGCCCCAACGGCCCUUUGGAUUAACAAUCAUCCACCAAUUCAAGAUCAAGCCCCGACGGCCCUUGAAGAAAGUGUUCUUCGUUCUUCGUUCAUUGUUCUUCCAAGAUCAAGCCCCAACGGCCAUUUAGAUCAACAAUCAUCCACCAAUUCAAGAUCAAGCCCCGACGGCCCUUGAAAAAAGUGUUCUUCGUUCUUCGUUCAUCGUUCUUCCAAGAUCAAGCCCCGAUGGCCCUUGGAUCAACCAUCCACCAAUUCAAGAUCAAGCCCCAAAGGCCCUUGAAGAACUUCCACCAAUUCA